UGAGGAGCCCCUGCCCUGCUGGGGGCUCUUGGGUGCCAGGGUCCGUGAGUGGCACCGCACCCCUGUGCUACCCUCUCGCCUGGCACCGCUGGGGACCACCCGGGCCAGCCCUGCCUCGGGUUCCCAGAGCGGGGCUCCCAGGGCCACGAGCUGGACUGCCUGUGGCUUCUCCGGCUUCGUUUCCCUGUCCUCGCCGGGGCCCAAGCAGGCAGAACCCUGGGGUGUCCUUGCUCGUCCCUCUGUCCUGUUACCGAGUCCUAGCUGUUCCUUGUCCCCAACGGGAGCUGAAAGUGCCACCUCUUCCGGGAGGUUGCCCUGGCUGACCCCAGACCAGAUCAGGCAUUAGACCCAGCCUCCAUGCCCCGCCCCGCGCCUCUGCUCAGGCCUCGAGCUGCACUGUGUGCAGGUCUGCAGACUGCAUCUGGCCUGCUCCCAGCUGCGGCCCCACCCCGGGCCCUGCCCAGGCCCCCUGGGAUGCGGAAUGCAAGAGCUCUGGGCGAGAGGUGCACUUCCUCCUCGGGGACCCUCGUGGCCGCUGCUGACCAAGGACACCUGCCUGACAAGGGAGACCGGAUGUGCAGGGACCCAGUGUUGGCAAAAUUUCCGUGAGCCAUCACGUUAAGAAGAAGGAAAGGGAUUGGAGCCAGACUGAGGCUUAGAACCCGGGAGACCGACUCUGACGCUCGCGGGGCUGCCCUGCUUGUGAGACGUCAAGGCACAGCCGUAGACGUGUUCGAGACAAAGGAGCAUACGUCCCCAUGACGCCCUGGUGCUUCUCCCCGACUUCACCGAGGACCCCUGGUCCGGGGGGCGGACACCAGGGAGCAGCCAGCUGGGUGCUCCCUGGACUAGGGGUCCUCGGUGCCCACAGUGUGAAAUACGUGACCUCCGCGGAGCUGGACGGAACGCGGCUCUCUCGGGAGCUACGUGGCUGGUGUCAGAAGGAAGGGAGACGGAUCUUUCCCAUCCCGUCGAGCGAGCGGCCUGACCUCCUGCCGGGAGCUCCAGGGACUGUGUCAGGCAGAUGCCCACACGCACAGGAGGCGCGAGAGGCCCACACCAACUCAGACAGAAUUUUGUGUUCGAUUUCCCCUUGUCCUGCCUUCCACCUAAAAUUCGUUCCAUCGGC